UGGUGGGGUGACUUGUCCGCUUAAUUGCGAUAACGAACGAGACCUUAACCUGCUAAAUAGCCCGCAUUGCUCCGGCAGUGCGCUGGCUUCUUAGAGGGACUUUCGGCUCAAGCCGAAGGAAGUUUGAGGCAAUAACA
rnacentral:rRNA from 1 species